CUGACACACUCAAACACGCACACAUGCCCUCCUCCCCCAUGCUGCAGUGUCUCAACUGCCUUGGAGCAAACCAGAGAGGAAAUAGAACAGACAAUAAUAAGAGAGACGAGAAAGAGGGGGAUAUAAAGAGAGAGAGUAUGAGUGGAAGAAAGAGUGUGUUAUAGGAGAAUGUUGGACUAAGAGUGGAUUGCACACUGCUUAUCUCUCCCAUGCGAGUGUUUGUCUGCAGUAUCCCUGGUGAACGGACCCUGGACAUUGAAACGGUAAGCCUGCCUGCUUUAUUUUCUCACACUCUUUCUUUUUGUCAUCACCACUAAGUUGGCCCUCUUUGUUUGGCUGGGGUGAGGAGUUUCUGUGUAAUUGGAUUCAAGUGGAGGAACAGGAUCUUUUUUUCUCCUCAUGAAGGUGAUGUUCUGAGAUGGCACCAAGUCAAGGCUGUUUCUCCAGUUCCCUCCUCUCUGUGUAGGUGGACUAGGAGAGACAGUGUCUGUGUACAUAUCCUCCUUGAUACAGCCUUCAUAGAUACAGUAUAUGGUUAUGUUGGGUAAUGGUAAAUAGGGAUGUGUGCGUGCUCUGUCCAUCUCAUCGUUCAUGAGCGAAUGAGAAUGAGAGAGGUAAGAGAGGUAAGAGAAGAAGAGAGGUAAGAGAAGAAGAGGUAAGAGAAGAAGAGGUAAGAGAGGGAGAGAGGUAAGAGAGGUAAGAGAGGGAGAGAGGUAAGAGAGGUAAGAGAGGUGAGAGAGGUAAGAGAGGGAGAGAGGUGAGAGAGGUAAGAGAGGGAGAGAGGUAAGAGAGGUAAGAGAGGUAAGAGGGAGAGAGAUAAGAGAGAGGGAAAGCGGUGAGAGGGAGAGAGGUAAGAGAGCCAAUAAAAGUACUGUCACGUAGGAUCUGCUGAUGACUGGCUUAGCGAGACAAUGAAUGUGACUGUGCGGUGGGAGGUGCACACACCCCAUGGAGUGUUGCUCUGCAGGCAGGCACUGGGCUGGACAGAUGAGCAGUGGCUUCACACCGGCAUUUUAGCAUCUGCCCUUGCAGCGCUCUGCCUGCCAUCCCACAUCAACAAUAACAUCAGCACAUCGAUCGAGAACCGUGUUGACCCAGGAUGGGUGUGUGCGAGUGUGAUUCUGAGAAAGUGACAGAGUGUGUGUGUUUCCUGCUCUCCAGUGGCCACAGCAGUGAGGGUCAUUUGUGACAUUUUGUGUCUCUACAAUCCCUCAUAUCGCUAAUGGAGCAUUGCCAUGACUCGUGGAGUGGGGGUUAUUCGGCAACGCAGGGGUGUGUGUGUAUGUGUGUGUGUGUGUGAGAGAGAACCUGCGCAGGGAGGGGUCGAGAGGCUAGGGGUUUUAACAGUAGGGAGAGAGGAGAGAUGGAGAGAAUGUAAGGAUAAACAUUGAGGGGACAGGGCUGUUUAGCCAAGUGUCAGCUGGAGAUGAUGGACGAUGUUGACUUGAGAACUGGCUGCAUGCGAUAGGCCCAAAGAAUGAAGUGAAACAGCCAACAUCCAGGCCCUCGGACAUCUAAAAAUGGAGGCAAAAAUUGUGGAAUAAAAUGCCUUGGGAACCUCUGGAGGAACACAGAUAGUGAAAUGAACCAGAGGAUGUGAGAUGAAUAGCAACCUCUCCUCUGCUCCUCGCAACCUACAAAAGCAGACCACAUUGCAUGAAUUUCUUUGCAAUAUUAAUGUAAACGGGGAGAGAAUAUAAAUGCACCGACGAUGGCAAACUGAAAUCAAGACUAGCAUUUAUUAUAGCACUUGAUGAUACAGGCUGGCUUUAAUGUGAUUAUACCAUAUUCAUGUCAUGAAGUGCCUAUUGAGCAAACAUUGGAGGAAUACAGGAUCUGCUUUCACAAAUGAAUUAGCUUGUCACUAUUUAAAUGUAAGAUUACAUACACAGACUACUAACAGAUCACUGUUUUUCUCUCCUUUUCACAAAUUGUAUGGCAAUAUUUUAUAUAUAAUUUUUCUGGCUAUGUAACUGCAGUGUAACUUCUACAUACAAAGGAUAGACAGCCAAAGCAUGUCUAGUGUCACUCUUGAAAUCAUCAAUCCCAAUAAAUCAAAUAAAAUCAUUGUUCAAUCUAAAUACCUAUCAUAUUUUUGAUGUGAUAUUAUAAUAAAUGUGAUGAAUUCAAAUCUAUAACAAUUUCACCUUCAAUGUGUAAGAUGUCAUAAGGUUAGGUUUACACAUAGAAUGUGCUAGAAGGACCAUGUAGAGUAAAAAUGUGACGUGUACCAAGCAAAUGUAACAACAACCAAGCCCAAAUAUACUAUAUAUACAGAAGUAUGUGGACACCCCUUCAAAUGAGUGGAUUUGGCUAUUUCAGCCACACCUGUUGUUGACAGGUGUAUAAAAUGGAGCACAUAGCCAUGAAAUCUCCAUAGACAAACAUUUGCAGUAGAAUGGCCUUACUGAAGAGCUCAGUGACUUUCAACGUGGCACUGUCAUAGGAUGCCACCUUUCCAGCAAGCCAGCUUGUCAAAUUUCUGCCCUGCUAGAGCUGCCCCGGUCAACUGUAACAGCUGUUAUUGUGAAGUGGAUACGUCUAGAAGCAACAGCGGCGAAGUAGUAUGCCACACAAGCUCACAGAAAGGGACUGCUGAAGCACAUAGUACGUAAAAAUCAUGCAACACUCACUACUGAGUUCCAAACUGCCUCUGGAAGCAACAUCAGCACAAGAACUGUUCGUUGGGAGCUUCAUGAAAUGGGUUUCCAUGGCCGAGCAGCUGCAUACAAGCCUAAGAUCAACAUGCACGAUGCCAAGCGUCGGCUGGAGUGGUGUAAAGCUCGCUGCCAUUGGACUCUGGAGCAGUGGAAGCGCUUUCUCUGGAGUGAUGAAUCACGCUUCACCAUCUGGCAGUCCGGUAGACGAAUCUGUGUUUGGCAGAUACCAGGAGAACGCUAUGCACAGUGCCAACUGUAAAGUUUGGUGGGGGAUAAAUAAUGGUCUGGGGCUGUUUUUCAUGGUUCGGGCUAGGCCCCUUAGUUCCAGUGAAGGGAAAUCUUAACGCUACAACAUACAAUGACAUUCUAGACGAUUAUGUUCUUCCAAC
ensembl:lncRNA